rnacentral:rRNA from 1 species
CGCGCAGGCGGUCCUUUAAGUCUGAUGUGAAAGCCCACGGCUCAACCGUGGAGGGUCAUUGGAAACUGGGGGACUUGAGUGCAGAAGAGAAGAGUGGAAUUCCACGUGUAGCGGUGAAAUGCGUAGAGAUGUGGAGGAACACCAGUGGCGAAGGCGACUCUUUGGUCUGUAACUGACGCUGAGGCGCGAAAGCGUGGGGAGCAAACAGGAUUAGAUACCCUGGUAGUCCACGCCGUAAACGAUGAGUGCUAAGUGUUAGAGGGUUUCCGCCCUUUAGUGCUGCAGCAAACGCAUUAAGCACUCCGCCUGGGGAGUACGGCCGCAAGGCUGAA